rnacentral:rRNA from 1 species
UACAGAGGUGGCAAGCGUUGUUCGGAAUUACUGGGCGUAAAGGGCGCGUAGGCGGUUCGUUCAGUCCUGUGUGAAAUCCCCCGGCUCAACUGGGGAACUGCACAGGAAACUAGCGGGCUUGAGUUCGGGAGAGGGAAGCGGAAUUCCGGGUGUAGCGGUGAAAUGCGUAGAUAUCCGGAGGAACACCGGUGGCGAAGGCGGCUUCCUGGACCGACACUGACGCUGAGGCGCGAAAGCUAGGGGAGCAAACGGG